rnacentral:rRNA from 1 species
UGGGGAAUCUUAGACAAUGGGCGCAAGCCUGAUCUAGCCAUGCCGCGUGGGUGAUGAAGGCCUUAGGGUCGUAAAGCCCUUUCGCCGGGGAAGAUAAUGACGGUACCCGGUAAAGAAACCCCGGCUAACUCCGUGCCAGCAGCCGCGGUAAUACGGAGGGGGCUAGCGUUGUUCGGAAUUACUGGGCGUAAAGCGCACGUAGGCGGCUUUGUAAGUUAGAGGUGAAAGCCCGGGGCUCAACCCCGGAAUUGCCUUUAAGACUGCAUCGCUUGAAUCCAGGAGAGGUGAGUGGAAUUCCGAGUGUAGAGGUGAAAUUCGUAGAUAUUCGGAAGAACACCAGUGGCGAAGGCGGCUCACUGGACUGGUAUUGACGCUGAGGUGCGAAAGCGUGGGGAGCAAA